rnacentral:rRNA from 1 species
GAUGAACGCUAGCUACAGGCUUAACACAUGCAAGUCGCGGGGCAGCAUGGGGGUUGCUUGCAAUCCCCGAUGGCGACCGGCGCACGGGUGAGUAACGCGUAUCCAACCUGCCCUUCACCACGGGAUAACCCGGCGAAAGUCGGACUAAUACCGUAUGUUGUCCAUUGACGGCAUCCGAUUUGGACGAAAGGUUUGGCGGUGAAGGAUGGGGAUGCGUCCGAUUAGCUGGACGGCGGGGUGACGGCCCACCGUGGCGACGAUCGGUAGGGGUUCGGAGAGGAAGGUCCCCCACACUGGAACUGAGACACGGUCCAGACUCCUACGGGAGGCAGCAGUGAGGAAUAUUGGUCAAUGGGCGUAAGCCUGGACCAGCCAAGUAGCGUGCAGGAUGACGGCCCUAUGGGUUGUAAACUGCUUUUAUGCGGGGAUAAAGUGGCCCACGUGUGGGUUUUUGCAGGUACCGCAUGAAUAAGGACCGGCUAAUUCCGUG